ACCAGACUCCUACGGGAGGCAGCAGUGGGGAAUAUUGGGCAAUGGGCGCAAGCCUGACCCAGCAACGCCGCGUGAAGGAAGAAGGCUUUCGGGUUGUAAACUUCUUUUAAGAGGGAAGAGUAGAAGACGGUACCUCUUGAAUAAGCCACGACUAACUACGUGCCAGCAGCCGCGGUAAUACGUAGGUGGCAAGCGUUGUCCGGAUUUACUGGGUGUAAAGGGCGUGUAGCCGGGCCGGCAAGUCAGAUGUGAAAUCCCAAGGCUCAACCUUGGAACUGCAUUUGAAACUGUUGGUCUUGAGUAUCGGAGAGGCAGGCGGAAUUCCUAGUGUAGCGGUGAAAUGCGUAGAUAUUAGGAGGAACACCAGUGGCGAAGGCGGCCUACUGGGCUUUAACUGACGCUGAAGCACGAAAGCGUGGGUAGCAAACAGGAUUAGAUACCCGUGUAC
rnacentral:rRNA from 1 species